rnacentral:rRNA from 1 species
UACGUAGGGGGGCUAGCGUUGUCCGGAAUCAUUGGGCGUAAAGAGCGCGUAGGCGGCCAGACAAGUCCGGUGUGAAAGUCACAGGCUCAACCUGUGAAUGCCGCUGGAAACUUUCUGGCUAGAGUCCGGAAGGGGCGAGUGGAAUUCCUGGUGUAGCAGUGAAUGCGUAGAUAUCGGGAGAACACCAGUGGCGAAGGCGGUUGCCUGGAGCUUUGCUGACGCUGAUGCGCGAAAGCGUGGGAGCGAGUCGG